UCCCUGGUGGCUCAGAUGGUAAAGCGUCUGCCUACAAUGCAAGAGACCCAGGUUCAAUCCCUGGGUCAGGGAA
rfam:TPA: Bos taurus chromosome 4, whole genome shotgun sequence.